rnacentral:lncRNA from 1 species
GUGUGUGUGUGCGUGUGCGUGCGUGUGCGUGUGCGUGUGGGCGGGGCCUGAGCCCGGAGAGCGGCGGGGGUCACGUGUGUGUCUUUUCCUGUGUUUCCCUGUGUUUCCCUGCUGCAUUUCCUGUGUUUCCUGUGUUUCCCUGCUGUGUUUUCCUGUGUUUUCCUGUGUUUCCUGUGUUUCCCUGCUGUGUUCCCUUUGUUUCCUGUGUUUCCCUGCUGUGUUCCCUGUGUUUCCUGUGUUUUCCUGUGUUUCCCUGCUGCAUUUCCUGUGUUUUCCUGUGUUUCCCUGUGUUUCCUGUGUUUCCCUGCUGUGUUUUCCUGUGUUUCCUGUGUUUCCCUGCUGUGUUUUCCUGUGGUUUCCUGUGUUUCCUGUGUUUUCCUGUGUUUCCCUGCUGUGUUUCCUGUGUUUCCCUGUGUUUUCCUGUGUUUCCCUGCUGCGUUUCCUGUGUUUUCCUGUGUUUCCUGUGUUUCCCUGCUGUGUUUUCCUGUGUUUCCUGUGUUUCCCUGCUGUGUUUUCCUGUGUUUCCCUGCUGUGUUUCCUGUGUUUCCUGUGUUUCCCUGCUGUGUUUUCCUGUGUUUCCUGUGUUUCCCUGUGUUUUCCUGUGUUUCCCUGCUGCAUUUCCUGUGUUUUCCUGUGUUUCCUGUGUUUCCCUGCUGUGUUCCCUGCGUUUCCCUGCUGUGUUUCCCUGUGUUUUCCUGUGUUUCCUGUGUUUCCCUGUGUUUUCCUGUGUUUCCUGUGUUUUCCUGUGUUUCCCUGCUGUGUUUCCUGUGUUUUCCUGUGUUUCCCUGCUGCAUUUCCUGUGUUUCCCUGUGUUUCCUGUGUUGCCCUGCUGUGUUUUCCUGUGUUUCCCUGCUGUGUUCCCUGUGUUUCCCUGCUGUGUUUCCUGUGUUCCCUGUGUUUCCCUGCUGUGUUCCCUGUGUUUCCUGUGUUUUCCUGUGUUUCCUGUGUUUUCCUGUGUUUUCCUGCUGUGUUUCCUGUGUUUCCCUGCUGUGUUUCCCUGUGUUUUCCUGUGUUUCCCUGUGUUUCCUGUGUUUUCCUGUGUUUCCCUGCUGUGUUUCCCUGUGUUUUCCUGUGUUUCCCUGUGUUUCCUGUGUUUCCCUGUGUUUUCCUGUGUUUCCCUGUGUUUCCUGUGUUUUCCUGUGUUUCCCUGCUGUGUUUCCUGUGUUUCCUGUGUUUCCCUGCUGUGUUCCCUGUGUUUUCCUGCUGUGUUUCCCUGUGUUUUCCUGCUGUGUUUCCUGUGUUUCCCUGCUGUGUUUCCUGUGUUUCAACUGUUAAUCACAUGUUAAUCACACGUCAACUGUCAAUCACAUGUCAAUCACACGUCAACUGUCAAUCACAUGUCAAUCACGUGUCAGCUGUUAAUCACAUGUCAAUCACACGUCAACUGUUAAUCACAUGUCAAUCAUAUGUCAACUGUCAAUCACAUAUCAAUCACGUGUCAACUGUUAAUCACAUGUCAAUCGCCUGGAACCCGGAAGCGUGACGUUCCCGUGACGCGCGGGCCCCGUGUGACUCUCGUGGGCGCGGCUGUCCGGUGUCUGCAGGGUGGGAG